rnacentral:rRNA from 1 species
UACGUAGGGUGCAAGCGUUAUCCGGAAUUAUUGGGCGUAAAGAGCUCGUAGGCGGUUUGUCGCGUCUGCUGUGAAAACCCGAGGCUCAACCUCGGGCCUGCAGUGGGUACGGGCAGACUAGAGUGCGGUAGGGGAGAUUGGAAUUCCUGGUGUAGCGGUGGAAUGCGCAGAUAUCAGGAGGAACACCUAUAGCGAAGGCAGCUCGCUGGGACGGUACUGACGCUGAGGCGCGAAAGCGUGGGAGCGAACAGG